AUGUCUUUCUUUCUUCUUAGCUUUGGUCGCAAAUUAACUGCAUCAACUUGUUUUCCAUUUUUACCACAAUCUGUGCUGUCCUUAGAUUUUUCAUGUGUUUUCUUUCUUCUUAGCUUUGGUCGCAAAAUAUUCACAUCAACUUGUUCCCCAUUUUUACUACACUCCUCCGUGUUGUCUUUAGUUUUUGAUAGAGUUGGCAGCGAAGUAAUCGCGUCGUCUACUCCCUUCACAUCACCCUCCUCCGUGUUUUCCUCAGUUUUUAUUACUGUUGGGCGCCAAAUAAUCGCGUCAUCUUGUCCUACCUUCUUAUCACACAUCUCCGUUUUGUCCGCAGUUUUUGUUAGCGUUGGGCGAAAAAUAAUCGCGUCGUCUUCUCCCUUCACAUCACCUUCCUCCGUGUUGUCUUCACUUUUUAUUAGUGUUGGGCGCAAAAUAAUCGCGUCGUCUUGUCCUACCUUCUUAUCACACGUCUCCGUGUUUUCCUCAGUUUUUAUUACUGUUGGGCGCCAAAUAAUCGCGUCGUCUUGUCCUACCUUCUUAUCACACUUCUCCGUGUUGUCUUCGGUUUUUGUUAGCGUUGGUCGCAUAUUAAUCGCGUCGUCUUCUCCCUUCACAUCACACUCCUCCAUGUUUUCCUCAGUUUUUGUUAGCGUUGGUCGCAAAGUAAUCACGUCGUCCUCUCCCUUCACCUCACACUCCUCAGUGUUGUCCACAGUUUUUGUUAGCGUUGGUCGCCAAAUAAUCGCGUCGUCUUCUCCCUUCACAUCACACUCCUUCGUGUUUUCCUCAGUUUUUGGUAGCGUUGGGCAAAAAACAGUCACCUCAUCUGAUUGCUCCUUGAUACCACAUUCUCCUUUGUUGUCCUUUACCGUUUCAUCCAUUUUAUAUUUUGUUAAGGCUAGUGAAAACGAAAUUAAACUGCUGACUGCAACCAUACACUGUAGAACUAGAGGGCUGCAACAAAUAAAUAUCGUGCAGAAAAGCGGACUCAGUCCACGCAGUCCACG
rnacentral:lncRNA from 1 species